rnacentral:rRNA from 1 species
AUACGUAGGGUGCAAGCGUUAAUCGGAAUUACUGGGCGUAAAGCGUGCGCAGGCGGUUUUUUAAGACAGAGGGGAAAUCCCCGGGCUCAACCUGGGAACUGCCUUUGUGACUGCAAGGCUAGAGUACGGACGAGGGGGGUGGAAUUGCGCGUGUAGCAGUGAAAUGCGUACAUAUGCGGAGGAACACCGAUGGCGAAGGCAAUCCCCUGGGCCUGUACUGACGCUCAUGCACGAAAGCGUGGGGAGCAAACAGGAUUAGAUACCCUGGUAGUCCACGCCCUAAACGAUGUCAACUGGUUGUUGGGUCUUCAUUGACUCAGUAACGAAGCUAACGCGUAAAGUUGACCGCCUGGGGAGUACGGCCGCAAGGUUGAAACUCAAAUGAAUUGACGGGG